GGGCGAUGAAGUUACUUCGCACUAAUGGUGAACGAUGGGGCCGUCACACACAUCUGACUUAAGAUGAAAAGAUUGUGCAUCCGAGCUC
rnacentral:snoRNA from 1 species